UACGAAGGGGGCUAGCGUUGCUCGGAAUCACUGGGCGUAAAGGGCGCGUAGGCGGCCAUUCAAGUCGGGGGUGAAAGCCCAGGGCUCAACCCUGGAAUUGCCUUCGAUACUGUUUGGCUAGAGACCGGAAGAGGUAAGUGGAACUGCGAGUGUAGAGGUGAAAUUCGUAGAUAUUCGCAAGAACACCAGUGGCGAAGGCGGCUUACUGGUCCGGUUCUGACGCUGAGGCGCGAAAGCGUGGGGAGCGAACAGG
rnacentral:rRNA from 1 species